CAAAAACAUUUUUUAAUGAAAUAACAUUAAAUAAAACCUGCUCCCUGUUUAAAUAAAGAGCCGCAGAAAAUUUACUGUGCUAAGGUAGCGUAAUCACUUGUCUUUUAAUUAAAGACUAGAAUGAAAGGUUCCACAAUUAAAAGAUUUUCUUAAUUAUGUUCUUCUAAUUUUCAUUAAAAAUAAUAAUAUUUUUAUCCCCCUAAAAGACGACAAGACCCUAUUGAACUUUACUGUAGUUAGGCUGGGGAAGCCUGAUAAUAAUUAUCUUAAUUUAGCUAUUUACAUAAGUAUCCUUUUAACAGGACUUUAAUCAAGUUACCAAAGGGAUAACAGCGUAAUAUUUUUUAAAAGUUCUUAUUAAUAGUCCACUAUACGACCUCGAUGUUGAAUUAAUUUCCCUCCCCCAUGCAAUAAUGGGCUAAGUAAGUCUGUUCGACUUUUCAAAAAUUACAUGAUCUGAGUUCAAACCGG
rnacentral:rRNA from 1 species